rnacentral:rRNA from 1 species
UACGGAGGGUGCUAGCGUUGUUCGGAAUUAUUGGGCGUAAAGAGCGUGUAGGCGGCCAGAUAAGUCAGAUGUGAAAACCCUUGGCUUAACCAAGGAAGUGCAUUUGAAACUGUCUGGCUUGAGUACGGGAGGGGGAAGUGGAAUUCCCGGUGUAGAGGUGAAAUUCGUAGAUAUCGGGAGGAACACCGGUGGCGAAGGCGGCUUCCUGGACCGAUACUGACGCUGAGACGCGAAAGCGUGGGGAGCAAACAGG